CGCCUGGGGAGUGCGGCCGCAAGGUUAAAACUCAAAUGAAUUGACGGGGGCCCGCACAAGCGGUGGAGCAUGUGGUUUAAUUCGACGCAACGCGAAGAACUUACCUGGCCUUGACAUCCAGAGAGCUUUCCAGAGAUGGAUUGGUGCCUUCGGGAACUCUGAGACAGGUGCUGCAUGGCCGUCGUCAGCUCGUGUCGUGAGAUGUUGGGUUAAGUCCCGUAACGAGCGCAACCCCUAUCCCUGGUUGCUAGCAGGUAAUGCUGAGAACUCCAGGGAGACUGCCGGUGACAAACCGGAGGAAGGUGGGGAUGACGUCAGGUCAUCAUGGCCCUUACGGCCAGGGCUACACACGUGCUACAAUGGCGCGUACAGAGGGCUGCCAACUCGCGAGAGUGAGCCAAUCCCUUAAAACGCGUCGUAGUCCGGAUCGGAGUCUGCAACUCGACUCCGUGAAGUCGGAAUCGCUAGUAAUCGCGAAUCAGAAUGUCGCGGUGAAUACGUUCCCGGGCCUUGUACACACCGCCCGUCACACCAUGGGAGUGGAUUGCACCAGAAGUAGUUAGUCUAACCUUCGGGAGGACGAUUACCACGGUGUGGUUCAUGACUGGGGUGAAGUCGUAACAAGGUAACCGUA
rnacentral:rRNA from 1 species